rnacentral:rRNA from 1 species
UACGUAGGGCGCAAGCGUUGUCCGGAAUUAUUGGGCGUAAGAGCUCGUAGGCGGUCUGUCGCGUCUGUUGUGAAAACUCGAGGCUCAACCUCGGGCUUGCAGUGGAUACGGGCAGACUAGAGUGCGGUAGGGGAGACUGGAAUUCCUGGUGUAGCGGUGGAAUGCGCAGAUAUCAGGAGGAACACCGAUGGCGAAGGCAGGUCUCUGGGCCGCAACUGACGCUGAGGAGCGAAAGCAUGGGGAGCGAACAGG